rnacentral:rRNA from 1 species
GGAACUGAAACAUCUAAGUAGCUCGAGGAAAAGACAUCAACCGAGACUCCGUUAGUAGUGGCGAGCGAACGCGGACCAGGCCAGUGGCUUGAAAAAGAGAACCAGAACGGCAUGGAAAGGCCGGCAAGAAUGGGUGAUAGCCCCGUAUGGGUAGAUACUUUUCAAGUCCUUGAGUAGGGCGGGACACGAGAAAUCCUGUCUGAACAUGGGGGGACCACCCUCCAAGCCUAAGUACUCCUGAGUGACCGAUAGCGCACAAGUACCGUGAGGGAAAGGUGAAAAGAACCCCGACAAGGGGAGUGAAAUAGAAUCUGAAACCGGAUGCCUACAAUCAGUGGGAGCUCAUGACAGAGAUCAGAGCUCAGAAAAAAAAGAUAAGCCGUUAUACCCAUCGCCUUUCAAAAUCUGAGGGUGUUGGACUUCGGGAUUUGUCCCUGCUCAUGUACGUUAUGUACGCUGCACGGGACUUACCGCUCGUCCGCCUAUCCAGCUUUUUGAGAUCCUUUGGGGAAGCAAUGUCUGUCCAGAAAAUUUUAAAGUGUGCAGGAAUAGAUUAAAGAAUCAGUCUCUGCGGUGCCUGCGAAAAACAGGCUCGUCAGGUGAUUUUUUCCGCAAUUCAGGGACAGCACAUCUUGAAAACGAAGGAUAUACCUUGAAAAUACAAAACAAUCUUCUUUGUCUUUGUGGGUGAAAAAGCAUUGACUAUUGAAAUGAUUUUUGUUGCCUUUUGAGGCGCGCAGAAGAGUUUCGUUGUUUUGUGUUUCUUUCAAACAUUGACAGAAAGAGAGCCGAUGUUUUUAUAUUUUUAAGAGCGUUGUUGAUGUUUAUUUUUAAUCUGAAUUCUGAUCUCUGUCAGGGUGACCGCGUACCUUUUGUAUAAUGGGUCAGCGAGUUAGUCUCAGGAGCAAGCUUAAGCCGAUAGGUGGAGGCGCAGCGAAAGCGAGUCUGAAAAAGGCUUACAGUUCCUGGGAUUAGACCCGAAACCGGGUGAUCUAGCCAUGAGCAGGUUGAAGGCACGGUAACACGUGUUGGAGGACCGAACCCACGUCUGUUGCAAUAGGCGGGGAUGACUUGUGGCUAGGGGUGAAAGGCCAAUCAAACUCGGAAAUAGCUGGUUCUCCGCGAAAUCUAUUUAGGUAGAGCGUCAUUUAUAACCACCGGGGGUAGAGCACUGGAUGGGCUAGGGGGGAGCGAUCCCUACCAAACCCAACCAAACUCCGAAUACCGGUGAGUUGAGAAUGGCAGACAGACGGUGGGUGAUAAGGUCCAUCGUCAAGAGGGAAACAGCCCUGACCGCCAGCUAAGGUCCCCCAGUUAUGGCUAAGUGGGAAAGGAUGUGGGAAGGCCAAGACAGCCAGGAGGUUGGCUUAGAAGCAGCCAUCCUUUAAAGAAAGCGUAAUAGCUCACUGGUCUAGUUAAGCUAGCCUGCGCCGAAAAUGUAUCGGGGCUCAAGCCAUACACCGAAGCUGCGGAUGUCACGGAUACGUCCGUGAUGUGGUAGCGGAGCGUUCCGUAAGCCUGUGAAGGAAGACUCGUGAGAGCUUCUGGAGGUAUCGGAAGUGCGAAUGCUGACAUGAGUAGCGUUAAAGGCAUGUGAGAAACAUGCUCGCCGAAAGUCCAAGGGUUCCUGCGCAAGGUUAAUCCGCGCAGGGUAAGCCGGCCCCUAAGGCGAGGCCGAAAGGCGUAGUCGAUGGGAACCAGGUUAAUAUUCCUGGGCCUGCUGGAUGGUGACGAAUGUUGUAAGUUGUCUGUUCUUAUUGGAUUGAGCAGGCAGAGAAGACGUUCCAGGAAAUAGCCCCAGCAUAAAGACCGUACCCUAAACCGACACGGGUGGACUGGUAGAGAAUACCAAAGCGAUUGAGCGAAUGAUGUUGAAGGAACUCGGCAAAAUGCUCCCGUAACUUCGGGAUAAGGGAGACCCUUGUGUGGGCAACCAUGCAAGGGUGGCACAGAAUAGGGGGUAGCGACUGUUUACCAAAAACACAGGACUCUGCAAAGUCGCAAGACGACGUAUAGGGUCUGACGCCUGCCCGGUGCUGGAAGGUUAAGAGGAGGGGUGCAAGCUCUGAAUCGAAGCCCCAGUAAACGGCGGCCGUAACUAUAACGGUCCUAAGGUAGCGAAAUUCCUUGUCGGGUAAGUUCCGACCUGCACGAAUGGCGUAACGACUGCCCCGCUGUCUCCAACAUCACCUCAGCGAAAUUGAAUUCUCCGUGAAGAUGCGGAGUUCCCGCGGUUAGACGGAAAGACCCCGUGCACCUUUACUACAACUUUGCAGUGGUAUUAGGAAUCGCAUGUGUAGGAUAGGUGGGAGCCUAUGAAGCAUCGGCGCCAGCUGGUGUGGAGGCACCCUUGAAAUACCACCCUUGCGAUUUUUGAUAUCUAACUGAGCUCUGUUAUCCAAGAGCCAGGACCCUGCAUGGUGGGUAGUUUGACUGGGGCGGUCGCCUCCCAAAGAGUAACGGAGGCGCGCAAUGGUAGGCUCAAGCUGGUCGGAAAUCAGCUGUCGAGUGCAAUGGCAUAAGCCUGCCUGACUGCGAGACCCACAAGUCGAGCAGAGACGAAAGUCGGUCAUAGUGAUCCGGUGGCCCCGUGUGGAAAGGCCAUCGCUCAACGGAUAAAAGGUACGCCGGGGAUAACAGGCUGAUCUCCCCCAAGAGUUCACAUCGACGGGGAGGUUUGGCACCUCGAUGUCGGCUCAUCACAUCCUGGGGCUGAAGCAGGUCCCAAGGGUUUGGCUGUUCGCCAAUUAAAGUGGUACGUGAGCUGGGUUCAGAACGUCGUGAGACAGUUCGGUUCCUAUCUGCCGUGGGUGUUGGAAAAUUGAGAGAACCUGUCCCUAGUACGAGAGGACCGGGAUGGACACACCUCUGGUGUACCGGUUGUCGCGCCAGCGGCACCGCCGGGUAGCUAUGUGUGGAGGAGAUAACCGCUGAAAGCAUCUAAGCGGG